AUUGAACGCUGGCGGCAUGCCUAACACAUGCAAGUCGAACGGCAGCACGGCAGUAGCAAUACUGUGGGUGGCGAGUGGCGGACGGGUGAGGAAUACGUCGGAAUCUGCCCAGUCGUGGGGGAUAACUAGCCGAAAGGUUAGCUAAUACCGCAUACGACCGAGAGGUGAAAGCGGGGGACCGCAAGGCCUCGCGCGAUUGGAUGAGCCGACGUCGGAUUAGCUAGUUGGCGGGGUAAAGGCCCACCAAGGCGACGAUCCGUAGCUGGUCUGAGAGGAUGAUCAGCCACACUGGAACUGAGACACGGUCCAGACUCCUACGGGAGGCAGCAGUGGGGAAUAUUGGACAAUGGGCGCAAGCCUGAUCCAGCAAUGCCGCGUGUGUGAAGAAGGCCUC
rnacentral:rRNA from 1 species